UACAGCAGGCACAGACAGG
rnacentral:ncRNA from 3 species